UUCCUGACUUUCCCAUCGUUCGGGGCAUUCUGGGGCUGUUUUGGCUAUUGGUUGCUUGUUUGGUCUUGAGCUGAAUGGGUGGCUUCUAGUCUGGUGGCUUCGGGGAUGUUGACCGUAAAGGUGGAUGAGUGGUGUUUGGUUUGUUACGUGUGGUUGGCUGCGGCGUUUGCAACAACUUCCAUGCUUUCAGACCUCUUCAGUUGUGCGGCAAGGCUUGUAUUGCCUUGAGCGUAUUGUGGGUUUUCUGUGUUGGCUACCUAAUCAACGGUAUCGUUUGGAUUGAUCAAAGUUUGAUUUCGUCUUCCGUCGCGUUUGCGGCGUGAGGUGAACCUUGAUGCGGUCUCUUUGAUCCAUCUCGUCGAAGCACAUGCUUUGACGUUGUGGCACAUUGAGCAUUGCUUGGUGUCUUGUAUACGGAACACGUAGUGGGCAUGGAUCUAACGAUUCUUGUUUGCCCUCAUAUUAGCGUAACGCUUCUCUAACACGACUUGCAUCACGUUUUAG
rnacentral:misc_RNA from 1 species